rnacentral:rRNA from 1 species
CGCGAACCGGCGGCAUGCCUACACAUGCAGUCGUACGGAGAGUGGGGCAACUCACUCUCAGUGGCAAACGGGUGAGUAACGCGUGAAUAACCUGCCUUUGAGAAGGGGAUAACUGUCCGAAAGGAUAGCUAAUACCCUAUAUUGCCUUUUGUCACUAAGGCAAAAGGUAAAAGCGAGGCUGUCAAAGGCUUCGGCUCAAAGAGGGGUUCGCGUCCUAUCAGGUAGUUGGUGGGGUAAUGGCCUACCAAGCCAAUGACGGGUAGCUGGUCUUAGAGGAUGAUCAGCCACAGUGGGACUGAGACACGGCCCGCACCCCUACGGGGGGCAGCAGUGGGAAUCGUGAGCAAUGGGCGCAAGCCUGACCCCGCAAUGCCGCGUGAGGGAAGAAGCCCUUCGGGGUGUAAACCUCUGUCAGAUGGGAAGAUGAGACUAGGGGCUAAUACCUCCUAGUCUUGACGGUACCAUCAGAGGAAGGGACGGCUAACUACGUGCCAGCAGCCGCGGUAAU